rnacentral:lncRNA from 1 species
UACCAACCAAAAAAAGUCCAGGACCAGAUGGAUUCACAGCUGUGGUCCCAGCUACUUGGGAGGCUGAGGCAGGAGAAUCGCUUGAACCCUGGAGGUGGAGAUUGCAGUGAGCUGAGAUCACACUGCUGCACUCCAGCCUGGGAAACAGAGGGAGACUCUAUCUCAAAAAAAAAAAAAAAAGAAAAGAAAAAAGAAAAGAAAAAAAGUGGUUUACAAUCAGCUGCAGUCCAAAGUUUAUCUUUUCUUCAAGGAAAUUCAUGGAAAGGACACUGAGAAGUACUCUUGAAUACAGGUUUCUAAUAAACUUAGAGAUCAUACCAUUGGACUAGGUAAAAACUUCCACAACACUAAUGAAAAACUGAUGCAUUCAUGAAGAUUUCUAAUCCAGCAUCAGGCAUUACAAUAAUUAAUUACACCGGACUGAAAUUAUUUUUAUGACUUUUUUGUUGAAACAUUGCUAACUCUUUUUGUUUUGUUUUCGAGAGUUAAGAAAACUUUUGUUUUUUUUUUUUUGAGAUGGAGUUUCG